GGGGCGGCCGCGGGCGUGAGCAAGUACGAACAGUUCCCUCCGGCGAAAUUUCCCAUCCAGCCAUGGUGUAUGCGCGUGCAUUGUGUUCAGGUUUUAUGGAUUGGGAAGUGUCUGAAGGUUUAGUUAUUGAAUCCAUUAACAGUUUUGCUUCAUAGCUCUGCAGCCUCUUCAUUGGAAUGCAUGAUACAUACUCCAUGUUAGCUGGUUGGUCCAUAUUAGCUGGUUGGUUCAUGACAAGGAAGUGCAUUGAUUUCUUUGUUCUCUGCGGUGAGAGUUGGUGUGCUGACCACGGCCAUCUCGCGCCUACCUAUUCCGGUGUGCUUGCCUCCAGCAACUCGCCACUACGGCCUGGCGCAAAUCUAGCACCCGCAGAAAUCGAGUCUGCCAUCAAGGAUUGACAAGGUGAGUAAUUCUCUAUUGUUUUUUAUUCGUGCUAUUUGGCAUGCUUGCAGAUUUUAUAAAAUUCCUGAAUAUGCACUAAUAACCAGCUCAAGGGUUCUCAAAAACAAAUAGCAUGGUGCUGUGUAGAAAUUUCAGUUUAAGUAUGUUGAGCAGGUUGCAUUUGGCAUGCUUGCACUUUCUGAUGUUUCUCACAUCUGAUGUGUGCUUGCCUAGAAAAGUUUUGUCGUGGCAAGGAUUAGCUAUUUGUAGUCAUAACACUUGGAAGUAGUCAUAACACAGAAGCUUAACUGAAUUAUAUAACACAUGAUUUUGUUUUGCACUAUAACACUUUAACUGAAUUAUAUAUCACAUGCUAAGCUAAGCUGCCCCUGAAUCAGGGAGAGA